rnacentral:ncRNA from 1 species
GGCCGGGUAGUGGGCAGUGUAAAAAUAGUCUUCGGACUGAAGCUGCCAGCCGUCUUGCGGCGGUGUUGAAGUGCCUGGCCGCCCCCUC